GUGUGUCUCAGACAGUCCUGAGUUAAUUCAGACAGAACUAUUGUGCUCUGUUCAUUUAUCCCUUUUAUUCUUUUUUCUUUUCACGGAUGGGCUUUAGAUUUCCAUUUGUGGCCUCUCCUCCUUUUAGAUCUAGGUAAAAUGGACAAAAACCUUCCGUUUUCAUGGUUUCUGAUGGCUUAAACCUGUCCCUAAGAUGUUUGCAAGCCUCCAGGCAAAGAAGGAAGUGCUGGUGGAGGAGGCUGUGGUUGUCUUUCAUUCAUGCUUUGAUGUCUUGUCUCUAAGAGGACUCUUUCUGCAUGUUUGUCUCUUGGGCAUGCUUGAUCCGGCUAUAAAAUUCAGCCUCUUGCUUGAUUUCUAUGUACACUGGAAUCAUAGUGAGUUUAGACUUUUCUGGAGGCUUAGGGGUAGGCAAUGAGGAUGAGGAGGGGGUGACCAAGAGAUAGAGGAGAGAUUUACUUGGUAGAAAUGCAUCCAGAACACAGGCAUUGCCUUUCAGUUAACGUUCUUUGGUGACCCUUCCAGGCUAGAUUUCAUUUCACUCUGAACUUCCCAUCUUUUUGGUUCCCUUUCGCCCUCAUUCUCAGAUUUCUCUCCAUUCCUUUCAGUGGCAAAACAACUCAUUUCUUCCCUGUUCCCCCAAGAACAGCCUCCCUCAUGAUCUGCAGGCUCAGAGCUGACUUUCGUCCCACAAGAUGUCAUCUUCCCCAACCAAGUCUCUCUACGCUAAAGAUAGUUCCUUCACUGGUUAGAGUUCUGGGGCCAGCUGUUCUCUCUCUUUUUAAUUUCACUUCUCUAGAAAAGCUUCUUAAGAAAUUGCAACCUUGCUUAGCUCAACGG
rnacentral:lncRNA from 1 species